UUUCCGUAGGUGAACCUGCGGAAGGAUCAUUAAUGAAUUGAAAGGGAGUUGAUGCUGGCCAGGUCUCUGGCAUGUGCUCGCUUCCGACAAUCUUAUCCAUACACCUGUGCACACUGUGAGGGCAUGCAAGUGCCCUUAUUUACUACAUACACCUAAUAUGGAAAUCGCACGUGACUUGCGUCGUAUGGCGCUUAAAACUAAAAACAACUUUUAACAACGGAUCUCUUGGCUCUCGCAUCGAUGAAGAACGCAGC
rnacentral:misc_RNA from 1 species